UUCUGAUCUUUUACUGAUUCUAAGAUUCAAGGCAAAUAUAGCGUUGGAAUGAUGGGCAAGUUAGCACCUGAUCACUUAGCUGUUGAGCGCAUUGUUUGUUUCCAUAUGAUCUGGCGCAGGAUAUUUAAGAUCGGGAUUCAGGAUAGAGAAGCCAGUUUUUCACAUUUCUGUUCUCGUAUGAAUGAUAUAACACGAAUAUCUUGUGUCGACCGACAAUUGUGUUUCUGCUUGUUGAUUACUGUGUUGUAACAUCAUAUUCCCAGAAAUCCUUUGCCUUCAACACAGAAUAUGACAGAAAUUUUUUAUCAGAAAUGCUUAUGCAUUAUUGCUUGUUUA